rnacentral:rRNA from 1 species
AUUGAACGCUGGCGGCAUGCUUUACACAUGCAAGUCGAACGAGUGGAGAACGGGUGAGUAAUAUAUCGGAACGUACCGAGUAAGGGGGGAUAACCAAUCGAAAGAGUGGCUAAUACCGAAUAUCAUUAGAGCGGCGGAUAACUGAUUAGCUAGUUGGUGGGGUAAAGGCAUACCAAGGCGACGAUCAGGAGCGGGUCUGAGAGGACGAUCCGCCACACUGGGACUGAGACACGGCCCAGACUCCUACGGGAGGCAGCAGUGGGGAAGUUUGGACAGUGGGGGCAACCCUGAUCCAGCCAUGCCGCGUGUAUGAAGAAGGCCUUCGGGUUGUAAAGUACUUUUGUUAGGGAAGCGGUACCUAAAGAAUAAGCACCGUCUAACUACGUGCCAGCAGCCGCGGUAAUUC